AUGGGAACGCGAAGAACCUUACCUACUCUUGACAUCCAGAGAACUUUCCAGAGAUGGAUUGGUGCCUUCGGGAACUCUGAGACAGGUGCUGCAUGGCUGUCGUCAGCUCGUGUUGUGAAAUGUUGGGUUAAGUCCCGCAACGAGCGCAACCCGUUAUCCUUUGUUGCCAGCGGUUAGGCCGGGAACUCAAAGGAGACUGCCAGUGAUAAACUGGAGGAAGGUGGGGAUGACGUCAAGUCAUCAUGGCCCUUACGAGUAGGGCUACACACGUGCUACAAUGGCGCAUACAAAGAGAAGCGACCUCGCGAGAGCAAGCGGACCUCAUAAAGUGCGUCGUAGUCCGGAUUGGAGUCUGCAACUCGACUCCAUGAAGUCGGAAUCGCUAGUAAUCGUAGAUCGAGAAU
rnacentral:rRNA from 1 species